rnacentral:rRNA from 1 species
UACAGAGGGUGCGAGCGUUAAUCGGAAUUACUGGGCGUAAAGCGCGCGCAGGCGGCCUUUUAAGUCUGAUGUGAAAGCCCACGGCUCAACCGUGGAAGGUCAUUGGAAACUGGAAGGCUUGAGUACAGAAGAGGAAAGCGGAAUUCCACGUGUAGCGGUGAAAUGCGUAGAGAUGUGGAGGAACGCCAGUGGCGAAGGCGGCUUUCUGGUCUGUAACUGACGCUGAGGCGCGAAAGCGUGGGGAGCAAACAGG